UGGCAACACCGAGGCGUACCAAAAAAGACGCAGCACGAGACAAGACGUUUUAAGAACAUGUGGCACGAGAUCGUCCUUGCCAGUGAAAUCAAAAUGCGUAAUACGCAUUGCGUAUUACUAGAAAAUACCCUGUUUGAUGUCCAUCGUCACUAUACCAGCGAAGUGAGCACUCUUUAACGUCAUACAAGUUCCCGGCUAAUAAUUCUAGGUUCAAUUUUAGCGCCAUAUUUUCCUACAGAAAAUUUUCAGAACUCCACUAGAUGACCAAUAGUAAACCGCUUUUAAACGGUAAUGAGGUCUAAGUGUUUUCUACUGCAGACAGUGAACCAAUUUUCCAUCUUCAUACGCCCCCGUACAAUUUAGAUUCGUUUAAUUUGAUCUUCCCAAAAAAAUUAUGUGAAUGACAAAUAAUAGCAUUGAAAAUAAUUUACUGAUUAAUGAAUAAGGGCAGUGGAUUACCUAAGUCAUGUUCAAAAUCAAUCUCACAUGAUUGAAAGGGAUCAAUUUUAAGAGCUUGAUAUAAUUCAAUGUAAUCUAAUGGAUCUGCAUCAGCAUAAUGGAAGGCUACUUCUAUGUGAUCAAGAACUCUUUGAAAAUCUAUAGAUCAAUCUAUGACUUCAAUGUAGGUUGUGUCCAAACCGUUGCAUCUAGAACCAAACUGAAUCAUCUCAACAGUAAGAUUUCUUACAGUCAAAUCAUAUUGAAAGCAAAGAUCUUUCAAGGACAUAACAAUUAGCCAUGGCAUGUACCAUACAAAAAUGUAUUAGAAUAAUUGUCUUGAUCACAUCAGUGUAAAGGUAAUACUGGCAGUCUUUACGGCAGUCGCUACCAAACAUCACAUCUGCCCAAAAAGAAAUUCUGUGGGCGUCAGUUCAGAAUAAAACUGUUCAGAAACAAAUCCAUUGUGCAACUGACCUACGGUGAGAAGCAGUGUUAUGCCUAAUACGAUGGAUACAUGAUUAAAAUGAGAAAACUAAACAAAGUAAGCGAAAAAGCAUACCAGGUGUAACAAGUCUGAUGCCGAUGGAGGAUCCUCAUUUCACCUAGUAAUGAGAAGCUGUCUGGUUGACUUGCCACAUAGCUUGGAUGGUAAUCUUUCUCCUUUCAAAGAGUGGGUGGACAAAUUAGACAAACAACCUUUUCACUGGCCCAACAGCCGCAGUUUUCUGGAUAUGUAAAGGUUGAAGCUUCAUGACCAUAUUAACCUCAUCAGCUGUAAGAAAUAUUUAUGUUCCUUAAUCUUACAUAAUAAAUUUUGUAUCACAUCACUGAGUAGAAUAGAUGAGCAUGCAGCAAUUAUUACUGCCUUGAAAUUGGCCUUUAAUAUGAGCUCUUUGUACUUGCUGAGGGUUCUUAAUCUUGAAGAUGAUCCUUCCUUGCAGAUGUGAAUAUAUAAUAGGAGGAUUUAAAAUUUUUAUUCACGAGAAAUAAAGGAUGUAUUUUGAAAUUCUAGAAGAGAUAGUACCAUAUGAUGAGUUGCUAGAUAUUCUGCCUGGAAAAUCAUACCUACUGGCCCUCACUCCGUUCACGAAGUUUGGAAAAGGGUUUGCCGCUGAAAACAUAAAUAUUUAUGUACAUAAACUAAAAUCAUGGUUGUUCCAUCAGCAACACAUUUACACCACAGAGAACAGACUACAAAGUAAGUAAGUAACGGUCAUAUUAACAGUUAAGGCCCUGUAAAUCUUGAAUACCUCAUAUGGCGGCGAGGCGUUAUCCAGCGAGAGCCAAACAGAACAUGGGAAUUGCGCCAUCUGGCGUUCACACAAGAUAUAAAGAGGCAAGGAAUUCAAGCUUUUGAAAUGAAAAUUUAUGCUAUUUUGGCAGUAAUAUGGUAAUUGAGUUGUUGAAAAUGAAAAAAAAGUAGUGUAUUAAAAAAAAUAUAUCAUCACGUUGAUGAACA
rnacentral:lncRNA from 1 species